UGCAAGUCGAACGGWAAGGCCCAAGCUUGCUUGGGUACUCGAGUGGCGAACGGGUGWKUWWCACGUGGGUGAUCUGCCCUGCACUUCGGGAUAAGCCUGGGAAACUGGGUCUAAUACCGGAUAGGACCACUUCGUAGUUGUUGUGGUGGAAAGUUUUUUCGGUGUGGGAUGAGCUCGCGGCCUAUCAGCUUGUUGGUGGGGUAAUGGCCUACCAAGGCGUCKACGGGUAGCCGGCCUGAGAGGGUGUACGGCCACAUUGGGACUGAGAUACGGCCCAGACUCCUACGGGAGGCAKCAKUGGGGAAUAUUGCACAAUGGGCGGAAGCCUGAUGCAGCGACGCCGYGUGGGGKAUGACGGCCUUCGGGUUGUAAWCUCCUUUCGCCAAAGACGAAUUUUGACGGUAUUUGGAGAARAAGCACCGGCUAAYUACGUGCCAKCAGCCGCGGUAAUACGUARGGUGCKAGCGUUGUCCGGAAUUACUGGGYGUAAAGARYUCGUARGUGGUUUGKCSCGKCSUUUGUGGAAKUCCMCGGCUUAACUGU
rnacentral:rRNA from 1 species